AUCCCAGAAAACCUAAUUUCCCAAUGGAACAAGAGACGGAUGGGGUGCCUUUACUGUGUAACCUUAAGGGAGAAUGGAGAGCUGGUGUCUGAGAACAGAGACAGGCUAUCAUGGGUUCCUUUCAAACAGUAGAAUCAGGGAUGGAACCUGCUGCUCAGUACUUCACAUGAUAUAAGACUCAAUUGAUAGAUGCCAAAUAUGGGAAGUCUCUUUCUGCAGUCAUGAAUUAGACACAUCUUCAUUAAGAUGUUGUUUUGUCGUGAUGGAAGAAAAGUGCUUAUGUAUUGGAUUAUCAG